CCUAAAUGUACCAUGAUAAAAUAAGUGUUAGGAAGUCACUUUGUCACCAGAAACUUUAAGUUAAAAAUACCCAUGUCAACAUUUUAUUAAGACAGUCACUUACAGUUUGUAAAAAGAAUUCUAACAUACAUAAAAGUUUCGGGUCUGAAGAAGCAAGGAAUUGAAAAAGCAUCCCCCCCCUCAUGUACAGACACUGCAGUACAAACUUCAGUUUGUUUGAUUUAGAUUGGCUUAAUCUUGAAGUGUAGUCCAAUAAGACUGAAGACUAGACAUUUAAGGUCCUGGACCAGGUAGUAGAACACUCUCAAACCUUCUGGAUCCUUGGAUUGAUUUACAUCGAUGAGCGACCCAAUUUUUGACGUGGUAAAGGAGAUGUGCUCGUCACCAAUUACUAUUUCAAGCUCCUGGCGGCCCACCCUGUCUGGUGGCGGCCACAGCGCGUCGUCCUCUUUGGUGAUCUCGCUGUCGUCGAUGAUCCGCUUCAGCUCCUCCAUCACGCUCUUGUGCACGUAGGCCUCUUUGCGGAUCAUGACGUCGUUCUUGUAGUUGCUGUUGUUGGCGUAGCGCAGCUUCCCGUCGGGCCGGAACUCGAACUCCAGGAACUCGUGCCCGAAUUUCCCCUUGUGCCCCACGUAGUACCGCAGGUAGAAGUCGCUCGCCAUGGUCCCGCCGCGCCGCACCGGCAUGCACCGCGACGGCGCGUGCCGAAUGCGUCACGGAGGGUGGGGCGGGAUGGGACGGCACGGAACGAGCCCAGCCUGCUGCGCGCUCUCCGUGCUCCCAUUGGCUGCCGCCCGCGAGGCCGAGCGGCCGCGGUGACCGUUGCGCCCCCCUGCGGCGGGGAGGGCUGCUGCAGCCCGGCACCUGGGACGGCCGUUAGGCCGCCAUGUUGCCCGCGACGGGACAGGGGCUGCCCCGACAUCCCCAACCGCCCGGCGGCUUUUGUACUUUGUUUCCAGUCAGUAGUAGCGGUCCUGUUGUCUCCAAGACGUCUCAGUACUCUUCUCAUUCGUAUUGAGAUGGUGAUUUUCUUCAGAGUCUUUGUUAGACAAAGAGUACGGAGAGCUAUACAUAAUUUGUUACUAGCUUAUACGUGUAUGCUGUUAAUUGUUUAACUUCUCCUCCUUUAAUUCUCUGUUACUCGGGUCCUGUCUAUCCAAAGCCAAAAGCUAGUAGUUUUCCAGCAUCAAGGGGUUUCUGUUUUGUAAAGAUAUCUAUUACAUCUAACUUGCCUUUAACUGAAGGCUCAGAAGUUUUUCAGAUGGCUGGACAGACAGAAGCUCGUCUUUGUGCUUAUAACUUACUCCAUCUACCUAAUCUCUAUGGAUAUAUAUCAGAGAACCCUGAUAAAGUAGAAAGACCCCUGAAAAGAGCUAUUAAUUCUAAUAAAGGACCCAAAUGGUAGCAGAGGCCAUGAAAUUAACAAAAUUCUUAUCUUGUUCUGAUGCAGAAACAACAUUCAGUUCCCACAGGUGUGGGAAUUAGCUCACGGCUAAGGGAAGGAUUUUGCUCAGUCAGAAUUUUACAGGAAUUUACAAAGGCUAACACGUGGAAGUUUAUUUCCAGUGAUUUCUUUUGAGAUAUGCAAAGAGUUUGGCACAUUUAGACUGAAGUCUAAAUCUUCAGGUUGCACAUGCUGUGUUCCAGUAUACGAAAGUGUUGCAGAAAAUGAGCCCAGAUAAAAGGUAAGUCUUUAAUCCAGUUCUUUAUCGUAAGAGUAGUAAAGAAGAUAAAGAAGAUUGUAACUUUGUUUGUGGCUAUCCUAUUCCACUUACUCCUUUAGUGCUAAGGGACGCCCCUAGGUCAAAUAUCCACUCCUGUCACAACAGCAGGGUGUGUGGAUUGCUGGUCUUUGAGGUCUUGGGCUGAGCUUUCAGGGUGGUUGUACAGAUCACUGAUGGUACUACAAAAGCUCCUGUGCUGAGGUGAAGAAAGGUGUGCAUGUUUUUUCUUUUAUGGCUACAUAAAACUCUGUACUGUAUAUUGGAUUUUGGGAGAGGAGCUUAAAUGCUUCCCUAAGCACUUUGUAUCCUGCAGUGGAAUAAAAAGGUCAGGCAAUAAGUCAUGUUCAGAAGGAAGACUUUAGUACAGUGGAAUUGGUUUAUUUAAUACUAACGAAAAGGUCACGUCUUUUGUUUUUUAUUCUCACAUAAAUUGAUUUUGUAAAGUUGAAGUUGGUUUAUUACCGCUUUUUUCUUUGGCUUUGCUAUGCCAGUAUUUGAGAAAAGGUCACCUUCUUAGUGGACACGUGGUAUUAUAUGGUCUAUUAAAUCUGUAUUAUUUCUGUUGAUGCUAAUGCGGUUUUUUUUCUUGGAUCUCCCUUUCCUUUUUUUUUCUCCUAACUUUGCUUUUCCCCGGUCAACCCAAUUCCAGCUGGGUGCUUUGUCACACAGUCUAGUAUUUCAGAGGUGUUUGAAUCUGAUUAAUUGCUCAAUUUGAGUUGUAGAAACUCCAAUGUCUUCGACUAGUCUGAUGUGCCAAGCUUAGAUUAACAUGGUUUUUCUCAUCCUUUGGACACUGUGAGAGCUCAAAGAGAUUCCCCCUCUAGUAUCUGUCCUUAUGGAGUAUGUGUCUGAAAACGAUGUGUCAGUAGAAGACAGUGACUAAGUACUGGUAUUCUUACUGUUGCUUUGACCUUUAAUUUCUCAACAUAAAGCUGCUUUAAGAACUGAA
rnacentral:lncRNA from 1 species